GCCUAGUCAUAAACUUUGAUUUUAUCCGCCAGAGUACUACGAGCAACAGCUUAAAACUCAAAGGACUUGGCGGUGCUCUACACCCCCCUAGAGGAGCCUGUUCUAUAAUCGAUAAUCCCCGAUAAACCUCACCAUCUAUUGCCAAUACAGCCUAUAUACCACCGUCCAGCCCACCCUUUAAAGGAAAGACAGUAGGCACAACUACAUACAUAUAAACGUCAGGUCAAGGUGUAGCAAAUAAGAUGGGAAGAAAUGGGCUACAUUUUCUAACCUAGAAAAACACGAAAAAGUUUAUGAAACUAAACUAUAAAGGAGGAUUUAGCAGUAAAAAGAAAGAAGAGUGUUCUUUUUAAGCCGGCAAUGGAGCGGCGC
rnacentral:rRNA from 1 species